rnacentral:tRNA from 1 species
GCCACCGUAGCUCAGCUGGUAGAGCAAGUGAUUCGUAAUCACUAGGUCGGGGGUUCGAAUCCCUUCGGUGGCUCCU